rnacentral:rRNA from 1 species
UACGUAGGGUGCGAGCGUUAAUCGGAAUUACUGGGCGUAAAGCGUGCGCAGGCGGUUUUGUAAGCCAGAUGUGAAAUCCCCGGGCUUAACCUGGGAAUGGCAUUUGGGACUGCAAGGCUCGAGUGCGGCAGAGGAGACUGGAAUUCCUGGUGUAGCAGUGAAAUGCGUAGAUAUCUGGAGGAACACCGGUGGAGAAGGCGGCGUUCUGGACUGCAACUGACGCUGAGGAACGAAGGCCAGGGGAGCAAACGGG